rnacentral:rRNA from 1 species
AUUGAACGCUGGCGGCAGGCCUAACACAUGCAAGUCGAGCGAGCGGCGGACUGGUGAGUAAUGUCUGGGAAACUGCCUGAUGGAGGGGGAUAACUACUGGAAACGGUAGCUAAUACCGCAUACCAUCAGAUGUGCCCAGAUGGGAUUAGCUAGUAGGUGGGGUAAUGGCUCACCUAGGACACGCUCCCUAGCUGGUCUGCAAGGAUGACCAGCCACACUGGAACUGAGACACGGUCCAGACGCCUACGGGAGGCAGCAGUGGGGAAGAUUGCACAAUGGGCGCAAGCCUGAUGCAGCCAUGCCGCGUGUGUGAAGAAGGCCUUCGGGUUGUAAAGCACUUUCAGCGAGGAGGCGUUACUCGCAGAAGAAGCACCGGCUAACUCAGUGCCAGCAGCCGCGGUAAUAC